UCCUGAUAGAAUGUAGCCUCUGACCGGGAA
rnacentral:piRNA from 1 species